rnacentral:tRNA from 2 species
AAAAAUGAAAUCAAAUUUUGAUGUUUCAUUUACGAUGAAAAACUUGUAUAAUUACCAUUUUUU